rnacentral:misc_RNA from 1 species
GUAGGUGAACCUGCGGAAGGAUCAUUACCUUUCAAUGCAGCAGAAUGGGGAUGGUUGAGUUUCUCGCCUCUCUGUUCUGCCUGUAUUCUACCCUUGUUUGUCAUAUACUAUUAUUUCCUCGGCAGGCUUGCUUGCCGAGUGAAACCAAUUAUAACCUAUUUAAUUUUCAAUCAGCGUCUGAACAAAAUUAAUAAUUACAACUUUCAACAACGGAUCUCUUGGUUCUG